rnacentral:Y_RNA from 1 species
GGCUGGUCUGAGUGCAGUGGUGUUUACAACUAAUUGAUCACAACCAGUUAGACAUUUAUUUGUUCCUCUUCCAACCCCACUGCUUCACUUGACUAGCCUUUA